AAAACGCUGUCAACACACCCUUCUUUUCAUUUGAACCGCACUGUCUACAGCAUCAGUAUCUUUCAGGGGAUUUGCAUCACAAGCAGGAAUUCCCCCAAACUGGACUCCUUCAGGUCAUUCUGUCGAGUACCCUGAGCCGUGGGAGCGAUGUCAGGUAAUACAAACACAGCAGCUAUAAAUAGCAGGAUGCUGUUCCGUUCCAUCGUUCAUCCCCGAGAGCAACUGUCUGGCAAGUCAUAGGAUCUGCAGCCAUCAGCAGCUUAAGUCAGCGGCGGUGUCUGAUUGGCAGAGAUGCUUGCCCAUCCAAAUUGCUACAGCGACACCAAAAGCUCUACGAGAGGCAGAAUAUACAAAUGGGUGGACCACACCUACAGAGAAUUCUGACCCGUGACCUGAAGCAGCCUGCCUAGGACAGUGAGCUGCUCUCUGCAGCGAGGAGCACGGCUUGUGCAUAUCACACCGGCACAAGCUAACUGCUAAAUCUUGGGACAAUCCGACCUGUACCAACUGGUCCAAAAUGGUCAAGGAGACUCCCCUCUUCAUGACACGUGCCGGCCACCGUCCUACGCGUCAGGGAUAUCGCAGAAAAGCAACAACUGUGUCUGUUCCCAGAGCUGACUCUAGAGAGAGACGGGGUGUCCCAAGGUGACUGCUGUUGGCCAAACAGACAGUUAAAGCGGGCAGGGGAGCUGCAGACUAUGGUAUGGGUAUUGUUUUUCAUUUAUUGAUACAAAUUCAAGGUCAAUUUUGUGAUGUGUGUAUUUCUCCUCUUG